AAAACUGGUAGUACCACAAAUUCAGCAUUAUUUUUCAAAAGGUCUUUUGUGCGAAUGAGAGCUUUUGUUAUAUACUUUCCUUUUAUUUAUAUUAUAACGACCGUUUUCUUUUCUUUCCGAUUGCUUCCUUAAACCUUGUAUAAUAUGUGAAUCGAGAUCAUAAUAUUUCGAUAUGUGCUGGCAAAAUUGUAUGAUGGAACUGUAAUAAGCGAAAUCUAAGAUCACCUCUUCGGGUUAGAAAAAUCUCUAACCUUAUGUGCGGGGUUGGGACUUGAACCCAGGUUUUUUCUGGCAGUUGUACAACAGCCGUAAAGGAU